rnacentral:rRNA from 1 species
AUUGAACGCUGGCGGCAUGCUUUACACAUGCAAGUCGAACGGCAGCACGGGUGCUUGCACCUGGUGGCGAGUGGCGAACGGGUGAGUAAUGCACCGGAACGUAUCCAAUAAUGGGGGAUAACGCAGCGAAAGCUGUGCUAAUACCGCAUACGCCCUGAGGGGGAAAGCGGGGGAUCGCAAGACCUCGCGUUAAUGGAGCGGCCGAUGCCGGAUUAGCUAGUUGGUGGGGUAAAGGCUCACCAAGGCGACGAUCCGUAGCUGGUCUGAGAGGACGACCAGCCACACUGGGACUGAGACACGGCCCAGACUCCUACGGGAGGCAGCAGUGGGGAAUUUUGGACAAUGGGCGCAAGCCUGAUCCAGCCAUGCCGCGUGAGUGAAGAAGGCCUUCGGGUUGUAAAGCUCUUUCGCAAGGAAAGAAAACUUAUCCGCUAAUACCGGGUGAGGAUGACGGUACCUUGAUAAGAAGCACCGGCUAACUACGUGCCAGCCGCCGCCGUAAGAC